GUCCACGCCGUAAACGAUGAAUGCCAGCCGUUAGUGGGUUUACUCACUAGUGGCGCAGCUAACGCUUUAAGCAUUCCGCCUGGGGAGUACGGUCGCAAGAUUAAAACUCAAAGGAAUUGACGGGGGCCCCGCACAAGCGGUGGAGCAUGUGGUUUAAUUCGACGCAACGCGCAGAACCUUACCAGCCCUUGACAUCCCGGUCGCGGACUCCAGAGACGGAGUUCUUCAGUUCGGCUGGACCGGAGACAGGUGCUGCAUGGCUGUCGU
rnacentral:rRNA from 1 species